GAUGAACGCUGGCGGCGUGCCUAAUACAUGCAAGUCGAGCGGACGGACGAGAAGCUUGCUUCUCUGAUGUUAGCGGCGGACGGGUGAGUAACACGUGGAUAACCUACCUAUAAGACUGGGAUAACUUCGGGAAACCGGAGCUAAUACCGGAUAAUAUUUUGAACCGCAUGGUUCAAAAGUGAAAGACGGUCUUGCUGUCACUUAUAGAUGGAUCCGCGCUGCAUUAGCUAGUUGGUAAGGUAACGGCUUACCAAGGCAACGAUGCAUAGCCGACCUGAGAGGGUGAUCGGCCACACUGGAACUGAGACACGGUCCAGACUCCUACGGGAGGCAGCAGUAGGCAAUCUGCCGCAAUGGGCGAAAGCCUGACGGAGCAACGCCGCGUGAGUGAUGAAGGUCUUCGGAUCGUAAAACUCUGUUAUUAGUGAAGAACAUAUGUGUAAGUAACUGUGCACAGCUUGACGGUACCUAAUCAGAAAGCCACGGCUAACUACGUG
rnacentral:rRNA from 1 species